GCGCCGGUGGUAUAAGGUGAACAUCGCUGCCCGGAAAGCAGAAGAUGCGGGUUCGAGUGCCGCCUGGCGCA
rnacentral:tRNA from 1 species